rnacentral:rRNA from 1 species
CCUACGGGGGGCAGCAGUGGGGAAUAUUGGGCAAUGGGGGAAACCCUGACCCAGCAACGCCGCGUGAGGGAAGAAGGUCUUCGGAUUGUAAACCUCUUUUACCAGGGAAGAAGAAAGUGACGGUACCUGGAGAAAAAGCCACGGCUAACUACGUGCCAGCAGCCGCGGUAAUACGUAGGUGGCAAGCGUUGUCCGGAUUUACUGGGUGUAAAGGGCGUGUAGGCGGGAAGACAGGUCAGAUGUGAAAUGUCGGGGCUCAACCCCGGAACUGCAUUUGAAACCGUUUUUCUUGAGUAUCGGAGAGGCAGGCGGAAUUCCUAGUGUAGCGGUGAAAUGCGUAGAUAUUAGGAGGAACACCAGUGGCGAAGGCGGCCUGCUGGACGACAACUGACGCUGAGGCGCGAAAGCGUGGGGAGCAAACAGGAUUAGAUACCCGAG